AAGAAUUCCCUCACCUGCCUUCUGCCCUUAGGCUCCGGUAGACUGCAAAUGACCUGCUUUCUUUCUGUUCCCGGGCUGCGUUUGGACCCCUGUCGGAUAGUAAAUCCCAAGCUCCGGUAGACUGCAAAUGACCUGCUUUCUUUCUGUUCCCGGGCUGCGUUUGGACCCCUGUCGGACAGUAAAUCCCAAGUAAGGUACCUGCCCUCGGCAGAUUUGAGCUUUCUUCUUGGACACCUAAUACCCACAGUCCUCCAGGAAUGGAACAGAUAAGAAGAUACUGAAAUUGGACGGUGCUGCCGUGCGGCUGCCGCAGGACACCUUUAAUAUCCCUGUUUCUCAGGCUGUAGAUGAAGGGGUUCAGCAUGGAGGUGAUCACCGUGUACAUCACUGAGGCCACUGCAGCCUUUCUCGGGGAAGAUGACACAUCUGAACUGAGGUACCCUCCAAAGCCUGUUCCGUAAAAUCAGCAAACAACUGACAGGAUAACUUCAGGAAGUGGGUAUUAAUUCUCACGGUAUAAGUGAAGACAUUAAGCACCAGAGUUUAAGUAGCUUGAUCCACUGAAAGAGAUUCAACUGUGUGGAACCUAUGCCGUGGAGAAUUGCUUUCUGCCAUUGUUAUCGUCCAGCAGUUGCCGAAUAGCUCUGACCUGAGCAAAGCAGUGAAACGCGGUGCUGUUGAGUGGGUUGCCACUGCACCUUUUUCAACUACUCUAGUCUUGUGGAGAAAAUACCCCUUCUAAAUUUUUUCUUCAUUGAAUACUCUCCCUCAGCUCCAGAGUACCAUAUAGAGUUUUCUUGUAUUUUAGAGUUACUGUUUUAUCAAAGUUUACCAGUCUUUUGUAUUACAUUUCUCCUGUCUAAAUCGACUGUGUGGUUUCUACUCAUUAUGGAUAUAGAUUGAUACAAACUCAAUAAAUAUUUUUGAAUGAAUAA
rnacentral:lncRNA from 1 species